GGUGGCUCAGUAGUAGGGUGCUUGCCUUGCAUGCAUGAGGCUCUGGGUUCGAUUCCUCAGCACCA
rnacentral:tRNA from 1 species